GCCUGGCUGGCUUAGUUGGUAGAGCAUGUGACUCUCCAUCUCAGGGUUGUGAGUUUGAGCCCCACACUGGGUG
rnacentral:tRNA from 1 species